GAUGCGUUGAGGACUUUUCUACUUGGUGGUGGACUAUAUCCAAAAAGCUAUGGCAGAGGCACAAGAAGACAAGCCCAACGAUGAAGCCUAUUUUAAGCCCCUGCUUAUGUCAUAAAUGCUAACAUCUCAUUUGCUGAAGCAAGUCACAUGGAUUGGUUCUGAAGCAAAAGAGAGCAACGAUUUUAAAAGACAGUGAGGCAAUUUCGCGGUCCCUGGAGAAUAAAGAGAAACUGAAGCAUCAAUGAGAAAGAAAACUAAAAUGCACUUUGUGAAUCCUGACACAGCCUAGAUGUUGGCACGGGGCUUCGGCUAAACUCAGACAGGAGACAAGGAAAUACUGGCUGGAAGAAGGCAGUUCCCUGGCAAAGGCCCCACCUUCAAGCCUGGAGACCCCUGGCCCUAAAUGGGAACAGGCAUUCCUGUUUCUGGGCCCCAAAGUUGCCUUUUGGCCUGCCAUGCCCCCCUAACCUGUACCCAUAUAAACCCGAAACCCCCAGCUCCAUGAGGAAACAAACAGAAGAGCGGAAGAAUGGCAGAAUGGUGUGGCGGAGAGAACAGAAGGAGCAUCUGAACACCAAGAGGAAUUUGGCUGGGGAGAGGAGAUCGGCCUCUGGACAGUUAAGCUCCAGGGGAAGGUCAUCUUCCUGCUCCAUCCCCUUCCCAGCUCCUCAUCCAUCCCACUGAGAGCAACCUCCACCACUCAAUAAAACUCCCACAUUCACCAUC